GUUUAUUCGCUGCUUGUACAGUACUGAUCUUAACAGGAGAGUAAACUGGGCGAUACGGGCGCGUUUGUUGUGGGUUUAGGGCUUUGACAGGGGGCAGGCGGUUGGGUUGUUUAUCUGUAGUAAGGGGGAGCUUGAAACCGUGCGCCUUGCCCCACGUCCUCGCUUGUUUUCCUUCUCGCGCUCGGAUUCUCCAUGUUGUUGGAACGACAUCGCGAGAGUGCACGCGCGCUGCGCACUAACAGCAUAAACAGCGUCACUUAUUAUAUGCAGGCGAUUAAAUGCAAACAGACGCGCGGAGCUGCAAGAAUGCGCAGCUUUUAAAAUUAUAGCGCAAAUUAUCCUGCCCCUCCCAUAUGCACGAGGCGGGAAUUUUAUAUUUCAAUAUAGAUUUAAACAAAAUGGGUUUUCUUUGUAAUAUCACUGAUGUCGGUUAUAUUUCGAUCUCCUAUGCAAAAUUUGCUCUCAUUUUUAAAGAUGCAAAGUUGCGCGGCAAGUGCACCAACAGAGAAGGUUCGUCUGUCGUCGAAAACAGGUGAAAAAUUCGUCAAUAUGGAUGUUCAAGCGUUAUGCAUAGAAUGAUUUCGCACCUACCCAUGAUGCCCAGAGUGCCUGAGGACAUCAGGACAAAUAGCAAGGUUAGAUGGAGUCAGUGGAGACUGAAAAACACACAGCAGAGACUGAUGGAUUGGAUCAAUCAUGUUCUAGAAAGAGUAGCAAGAGAUGUUUUAAUUGAUCUGAUUUCCUCACAACGUUGAUCCUAAAGACAUGGACUCUAGUUUGUUACGUCAUCAUUCAAACUGUUUUUGUCAUUUAAUGCAAUAGCUGUUUUUUUAUGCCUGGAGUUUAUGUCUAAUUGAAUCUUGAUGUAAUAAAUUACAUCAUGGGAUACGUCCAACAAUGGAUGCACCAAUUCUUUAUCAACUAGACUAGCAAUUUUAAAACUUAACAACCUAACAAAUUCAACCUAACCUUUCAUUCCCCCAAAAUAGCAGAAAACUUUUACAUCACUACAGGAACAAAUGAAAAUUGUUGUAUAUAUAUUUUUUUACAACAGAAUUUUGUAGAAAACCUUCAAUAAACUUCUUUUGUGGAAUCUUUUGUA